rnacentral:rRNA from 1 species
UACAGAGGUCUCAAGCGUUGUUCGGAUUCAUUGGGCGUAAAGGGUGCGUAGGUGGCGGGGUAAGUCAGGUGUGAAAAUCUCGGGGCUCAACCCCGAAACUGCACUUGAUACUGCCUUGCUCGAGUACUGGAGAGGAGAUUGGAAUUUACGGUGUAGCAGUGAAAUGCGUAGAUAUCGUAAGGAAGACCAGUGGCGAAGGCGAAUCUCUGGACAGUUACUGACACUGAGGCACGAAGGCCAGGGGAGCAAACGGG